GUUGGUCAGGCUGGUCUGAUCUCCUGACCUCACGUGAUCCGCUCGCCUCCGCCUCUCAAAGUGCUGGGUUUACAACCGUGAACCACUGCGCCUGGCCUCAAAGACUUAUUCUUCAUACAACUGUUUGCCUCUUAUCUACCUAAGACCUGGAAGCCCCCUUGCUUUGGAUUGUCCUGCCUUUCCGGACUGGACCAAGGUGAAGUAACUGAGCCUUAAAUAGAGAAUUAAUUAUCCUGCCCAAUCGGUCUGCCCACAUCAGUGCCCACCACGAAAACUGUUGCUAUGUUAUCAAGAAUUUAAAGGCCAUGCAGUCCAUCACGUAUUACCUGACACUGGUGUUCCCCGCUUCUUUCACUCAGAAUCUUAACUCUUCAGAGACACAGGAAAGUGCCAGUUUCAACAAAUGGCAAGCCAUAAAUGUAACAGGAAGAUCUAAUUCUGGAAGAUAUACAAAUGCCGAAAGGAAAAUUAAAGCCACUUACCCCGAGGAAGAGAUGAAGGUGAAGAACUUUCUGGGCCUGAGUCCUUGGGUAAGGUUAACUCAGCAUACAUCAUUUGUUGGUCCAUUGCAGACAGAGGAAGGUGGCAUUAAACUUGCGUAUAAGAAAAAACUCUCAAUUCUGUGAGGUAAAAUCAGCAAAAGGAAGCGUUCUGCCUGCAGUACUUUGUUGUCUCUCUUUUGUCCCCACCCACCUACACUUCUUGUUGGUGGUUUUCUCCAUAAAUUGCUGAGACAAUCCACUCACCGCAUGUUCAUUAUACCUAGCUAUAUAAUAUUUACUUUCCUUACUUAACUGGCCUGUUGUUUGGCAAAAUUCUGGGAGGCUCAUUUGUUCUUGUUUUUCUAACCAUUCUUUUUCUGUUCCUCUCUCAGGGCCAGUACCAGAGUGAAGCAGAUGAGGCAUAGCCUGGGGUUCCAAUUUAAGGGGCCCCCACAAAACUUAGUAAUUAACAGAAAUAAUAUUUAGCACAAUUUUGUAAAAGUAAAAAUUAAUGUAAAAAGUCCGUAAUGCUCUUCAAAGACUCUAAAAUCUUCCUGAAAUAUCUGUGCUCCAAAGAAAGUUGUGAAAUGUGAAAAAUGGGAACAUAAAUGUGAGAAAGCCCAAUGAAUAACACAACAGAAAAAGCAAUGUGCUAAAGAUCAACAGCCUACUGUUAGCUUAGCUCUAAAGGCACUGUUGGAUAUGAUAGCAUUUUCACAUAAGUAAAAGUAUUUGGAAACCAUCAGAAUUGUAGGAAGUGGAGCAUAUGGAAUUUUUUAUCUCUUUCAAAGAUUUUCUUUUCCUUUCAAGGUGAUUAUAGAAUGUGUAUCCUUUUUUUUCCUUUUUCUUUUUUUAUUAUACUUUA